GCCGAGGUGGCGGAACUGGUAGACGCGCAGGUCUCAAAAACCUGUGGGCCCUAAAGCUCGUGAGGGUUCGAGUCCCUCCCUCGGCA
rnacentral:tRNA from 1 species